rnacentral:rRNA from 1 species
UGGUAGUNCACGCCGUAAACGCUGAGUGCUAGGUGUUAGGUCCUUUCCGGGACUUAGUGCCGACGCUAACGCAUUAAGCACUCCGCCUGGGGAGUACGACCGCAAGGUUGAAACUCAAAGGAAUUGACGGGGGCCCGCACAAGCGGUGGAGCAUGUGGUUUAAUUCGAAGCAACGCGAAGAACCUUACCAGGUCUUGACAUCCCGAUGCCCGCUCUAGAGAUAGAGUUUUACUUUUUGUACAUCGGAGACAGGUGGUGCAUGGUUGUCGUCAGCUCGUGUCGUGAGAUGUUGGGUUAAGUCCCGCAACGAGCGCAACCCUUAUUGUUAGUUGCCAUCAUUAAGUUGGGCACUCUAGCGAGACUGCCGGUAAUAAACCGGAGGAAGGUGGGGAUGACGUCAAAUCAUCAUGCCCCUUAUGACCUGGGCUACACACGUGCUACAAUGGUUGGUACAACGAGUCGCAAGCCGGUGACGGCAAGCUAAUCUCUGAAAGCCAAUCUCAGUUCGGAUUGUAGGCUGCAACUCGCCUACAUGAAGUCGGAAUCGCUAGUAAUCGCGGAUCAGCACGCCGCGGUGAAUACGUUCCCGGGCCUUGUACACACCGCCCGUCACACCACGAGAGUUUGUANCACCCAAAGUCGGU